rnacentral:rRNA from 1 species
AGAGUUUGAUCAUGGCUCAGGAUGAACGCUGGCGGUAUGCCUAACACAUGCAAGUCGAACGAUGUCUUCGGACAUAGUGGCGGACGGGUGAGUAACGCGUGAGAAUCUGCCUCUAGGAUGGGGAUAACGGUUGGAAACGACCGCUAACACCCAAUAUGCCGUAAGGUGAAAAAUUUAUUGCCUGGAGAGGAGCUCGCGUCUGAUUAGCUAGUUGGUGGGGUAAGAGCUCACCAAGGCUUCGAUCAGUAGCUGGUCUGAGAGGAUGAGCAGCCACACUGGGACUGAGACACGGCCCAGACUCCUACGGGAGGCAGCAGUGGGGAAUUUUCCGCAAUGGGCGAAAGCCUGACGGAGCAAUACCGCGUGAGGGAGGAAUGCCUUUGGGUUGUAAACCUCUUUUCUCAGGGAAGAAGAUCUGACGGUACCUGAGGAAUAAGUAUCGGCUAACUCCGUGCCAGCAGCCGCGGUAAUACGGAGGAUGCAAGCGUUAUCCGGAAUCAUUGGGCGUAAAGCGUCCGCAGGUGGUUUCCAAAGUCUGCUGUUAAAGACUGGAGCUCAACUCCGGAACGGCGGUGGAAACUUGGAAACUAGAGUUCGGUAGGGGUAGCAGGAAUUCCCAGUGUAGCGGUGAAAUGCGUAGAUAUUGGGAAGAACAUCGGUGGCGAAGGCGUGCUACUGGACCGUAACUGACACUCAGGGACGAAAGCUAGGGGAGCGAAAGGGAUUAGAUACCCCUGUAGUCCUAGCUGUAAACGAUGGAAACUAGGUGUGGCUUGUAUCGACCCGAGCCGUGCCGUANCUAACGCGUUAAGUUUCCCGCCUGGGGAGUAC